rnacentral:rRNA from 1 species
GAUGAACGCUAGCUACAGGCUUAACACAUGCAAGUCGAGGGGCAGCAUGGAGUCAGCUUGCUGGCUCUGAUGGCGACCGGCGCACGGGUGCGUAACACGUAUCCAACCUGCCCCGCGCCCGGGGAUAGCCCUUGGAAAUGAGGAUUAAGACCCGAUAUGUGGAUGCGCCGCAUGGCGUGUCCAUGAAACUGAGCGCGGGAUGGGGACGCGUCGGAUUAGCUUGACGGCGGGGCGACGGCCCACCGUGGCGACGAUCCGCAGGGGUUCUGAGAGGAAGGUCCCCCACACUGGCACUGAGACACGGGCCAGACUCC